CCCUGAACUCUCGGGAGCCCGGCCUCCCAAAACGCGCCUGGGAGGGCUGCGCAGAUGCAGGUAUUGAAGAUUCAGAGAAAUGACACAGACCCUCCUUUCAAGAAUGUUUUGAAGAGUGCUGCAAGUAAAAAGAUGGCAAGUGCUCAUCAUGCUGGUGUGGACUAUAUGGAAGAUAGACCUAUUGAGAAGAUAGAAGACUUACUUUCAUCAUCUGAAUCAAAUCCAAAGAGU